GCGAGUAUAGCUUAGUUGGGAGAGCGUUAGAUUGAAGAUCAAAAGGUCACCUGUUCGAUCCACGUUCAUCACA
rfam:Gossypium hirsutum cultivar TM-1 chromosome 19, whole genome shotgun sequence